CCUGAUUUCAUUCUCAGAAGAUUUAUUAUUGGUGUACAACAAAGCUAUUUAUUGUGUAUGUUGACUUUGUAAUCUGCUACUGUGCUGAAUUUGUUUAUUAAAUAUAGCAGUCUUCUGAUCAAAGUUUUAGAUCUUCUAAAUAUAGGAUUGUAUCACCUGGAAAUAGUGAUAAUUUUACUUCUACUUUUCCUAUUUUUAUUCCUUUUAUCUUCUUCUCUCAUCUAAUUGCUCUAAUGACAAUUUCUAAUAUAUAUUGAAUAGAAGUUGUGAGGAUAUAAAUCCUUGUCUUGUUCCAGAAUUUAAAGGAAAUGCUUUCAAUUUUCCCUCAUUCACUCUGAUAUUGGCUUUGAGUUUUUGGCAUAUACUAUUUACAAUAUUGAGGUAGUUCCAUCUAUCCUUCCUUCCUUCCUUUUUUGUCAAGAAUAGGUACUGAAUUUUGCUAAAUUAUUUCUCUGCAUCUAUUGACAUGACUAUGUGAUUUUUGUUCUUAAAUUUAUUUAUGUGGGAAAUUACACGUAUUGAUUUGUGAAUGUUAAGACAUCCUUGCAAGAUUGGCAUAAAAAUCAACUUGGUAUUGGUGUGUAAUCUUCUAAAUAUAUGAUUGAAUAUGAUUAGCUAAUAUUUAUUAAGAAAUUUUUCAUCUUAGUUCAUCAGGGUAAUUGGCCUGCAGUUUUCUUUCCUGGAUGUGUCUUUAUCUGAUUGUAGUAUGAGGAUGAUAGUGGCUUUAUAGAAUAAAUUUGGAAGUGUUCCAUCCCUUUCUAUUUUGUGGAAUAAUUUGAGGACCAUUAGCAUUAUUUCUUCUUUGAAAUUCUGGUAGAAUUCAGAUAAGAAUCCAUCUGACUCUGGGCUAUUCUUUGUUUGAAGACUUUUCAUUACUUCUUCUAUCUCAUUGGUAGUUAUUAUUCUGUUCAGGCUGUCAUUCAAAGCUGUGAACAAUUAUUUCCAUAUGAAAAACAAACUACCCCUUUAUUCAAGUUUAUACUCUGACCAUCUUGAUUGUUUUUCUUUUUCUUUUUUUGGUUCUGUUUUAGUUAUGCAAGACAGUAGAAUUUACUUUGGUAUAUUUAUACAAGCAUAGUUUUUAUCUUAUUCUAUUUAGGAUCUCAGUCUUGUGGAUGUACACAAUUGUGAGGUUCAUUGUGUUCUAUUCAUAUGUGUACAUAUGAAAUAAUGUCAGAUUAAUUCCACUGUCUUUUCUAUUUCUCUCUCUGCCCAUCCCUUCUUUCCACUUUGUCUAAUCCACUGAAUUUCUAUUCUUCCCCUCCUCCCACCUUAUUUUGUGUUAACAUUCAUGUAAGAGAGAAAAAUCUGACCUUUGGUCUUUUGGGAUUGGCUUAUCUCCCUUAGCAUGAUAGACUCCAUAUCCAUCCAUUUUGUGGCAAAUAUCAUAAAGUUAUUCAUUUUAUGGCUGAUUUAUAUUGCAUUGGGUAUCGUAUAUAUGCCACAGUUUCUUUAUCCAUUCAUCUGUUGAUAGGCAUCUAGUUUGGCUCCAUAGGCCUGCUAUUGUGAAUUGUUCUGUUGUAAACAUUGAUGUGGCUGCAUCACUAUAGUACCCUGAUUUUAAAUCCUUUGGAUGUAUACUGCGGAGUGGAAUAACUGGUGUUUCCAUUCCAUUUUUUGAGUAAUCAUCAUACCACUUUCCAGUAUGGUUGCACUAUUUUGUAGUCCCACCAGCAAUGUCUGAGUGUUUCCUUUUCCCCACAUACUCAAUAACACUUAUUGUUCCUUGUAUUUUUGUAAUUGCUAUUCUGACUGAAAUGACAUAAAAUCUCAUUGUAGUUUUAAUAUGCAUUUCUCUAAUUUCUAUAGAUAUUGAACCUUUUUUUCAUAUAUUUGUUGACCAUUCCUAUUUCCUUUUUUGAUAUGUGUCUUUUUAGUUUCUUGUCCCAUUUAUUGACUGGUUUUGGGUGAAGGUGAUUAUGGUUGUGGUGAUGGUGGUCGUGGUGGUGUUAAGCUUUUUGAGUUCUUUUUAUAUCCUGGAAAUUAAUGCCCUAUCUGAAGCGUGGGUGGCAAAAUUUUUCUCCCAUUCUGUAAGCUCUCUCUUCACACUCUUGUUUGUUUCCUCUGCUGUAAAUAAGCUUUUCAGUUUUAUACCAACCAGUCUGUUGAUUUUUUAUUUUACUUCUUGUGCUUUAGGAAUUUUGUUAAGGAAGUCUGUUCCUAGCCAACAUGUAGUGUUGUGCCUACAUUGUUUUCUAUCAGGUGCAGUGUUUCUGUCUAAUAUCUAGCUGACCACCUUAAUCUUAGAAUCUUUUCUUUCAUAGGUAGAGUUAAUAUUGAUAAAAUCACCAUAUGACCCAACAUGAUCUACACGUUCAAUGCAAUACCCAUCAACAUAUAAACUCUUCAUAGAUCUAAAAAAAGAAAAAAAAUGAGUCCUAGAAUUCAUAUGGAAAGACAGGAGACCCAUAAUUGCCAAAACAAUUUUGAACAAAGAAAAUAUAUCACUGGAUAUAUCAUAAUAUCUAAUUUAAAAUUAUACAACAGAGUUGUAUUAAGAAAAAUUACAAUAAAUGCUGGGAAGAUGCUGGGGAAUUGGAACUCUGAUAUUUGAACUCUGUAAGAAUGUAAAUUACUACAGUCACUAUGGAAAUCAGAAUAGAGAUUCCUUAAAACUAGAAAUAGAACCACCAUAUUACCAGGUAUGAGUGCGUAAUUCAGUAUUUAUCCAAAAGACUUAAUAUUAGCAUACUCUAGAGAUCCAUUUACAUAAAUAUCUAUGGCAGCACAAAUCACAAGAGCCAACUAAUGGAGCAGGUAUUCAUCAACAGAUUAAGGGAUAAAGACAAUGGUAUAUUUAUACACAACAGUGUUGUGCUCAGCCAUAAAGAAGAAUGAAAUUUUGUCAUUUGCUAAAAAAAUAAAUGGAAUGUGAGAUCAUUAUGUUAAGUGAAAUAAUCCAGACUCAUAAAUUCAAGGUCAUAUGUUUUCUCUCAUAUGUGGAAGUUGGAUAGAAAAAAGGAAAAAAGGAGAAUCUCAUGAAAAUUGAAUAAGAUUUUCAGAGUAAAGAAAAUUAUCAGGGGGAGGAAAUAGAGUUCAAUGGGGUGUUAGUUGGAAAUGAAAUUAACCAAAUUAUGUUAUGUGCAUGUGGGAAUAAACCACAAUGAAACCCACUAUUCUGUAUGAUUGCUAUUUGCAC
rnacentral:lncRNA from 1 species